rfam:Colletotrichum gloeosporioides Nara gc5 unplaced genomic scaffold scaffold259, whole genome shotgun sequence.
ACCGCCCAACAGGAGAAUCAUUUCUAUAGUAUUCGACCUAUUCUUGGUUCCCUAAAAGAGCCACAGAUCCCACCCUGGUUGAUGAGUUGUAUCCUCGACACCCUAGAGUGAAGAACUCCUGGUUGCUCUCGACCUAUCCGAAAGGAUGGCGGCCUCGGACUUGUUUCUGGGGCUGUAUAGAGAGCGGUGAUGAUCUCGUCCCUGUCUGCGGUCUUGCCCUUGGGCGCGCGGGCAGGGUGGGUGUUGAUGGACGUCUGACAGGC